rnacentral:rRNA from 1 species
ACGAGGUCCAUCCAGUGGCAACACUGGGGGACGACCUAGUGGCGAACGGGUGAGUAACACGUGAGGAACCUGCCCCGAAGACCGGGAUAACCCUCCGAAAGGAGAGCUAAUACCGGAUACCCUCUUCCGAUCGCAUGGUCGGACGAGGAAAGGGUUACUGCUUCGGGAGGGCCUCGCGGCCUAUCACGCUUGUUGGUGAGGUAACGGCUCACCAAGGCUCCGACGGGUAGCUGGUCUGAGAGGACGAUCAGCCACACUGGGACUGAGACACGGCCCAGACUCCUACGGGAGGCAGCAGUAGGGAAUCUUGCACAAUGGGCGAAAGCCUGACGCAGCAACGCCGCGUGCGGGAUGACGGCCUUCGGGUUGUAAACCGCUUUCAGUGGGGACGAAUUCAGACGGUACCCACAGAAGAAGCCCCGGCCAACUACGUGCCAGCAGCCGCGGUAACACGUAGGGGGCGAGCGUUG